GGGCAAGUCUUACACGACCAGCUCCUGAUGAAUCCCCCAGGUCUUGACGGAAGCAAGGGUAGUCGGUUGUAGCGGUGCGAUGUAAGUAACUUGCCCUUU
rnacentral:SRP_RNA from 2 species